GUUGGUAUUACCUUCGUAGAACCUUACCUGUUCGUUGGUAUUCAUGCACUGGAGUUUCAUCUGUUUCAGCAGUGAAAAUGAAGAAUCUAACCUUUAAACUCUGCUGUGCUGGGGUUGAUGUGCAUCCUCUUCUGGCAUUCCCCACAGCUCAUCAGGAAGCGGGUCACAGCCUCGCGGGGAAGGAAAGCGUAUGUCUCUGCAAUCUGGCAACCACAGAAGGAGAGAGAAAUGGGGGUUAAGGAGACGGGAUGAGAGGAUGGAGGGGAUUAGAGGCAUCUUUGUGGGGAUUGCUGUCAAUAUAAUCUGAAGGGCAACGACAGCUCUGUUUUGCGUGCGACCUUCAUGCACAUACACAGAGCUAGAGAGGGGAGAGAAAGAGAGUAGGAGCAAGAGGCUCAUCAGGGACGCCUGGUUCCCCUGAUCCUGCCUCAGGCUGUGCAGAGGGAAAGGCCACCCAGGGAACAAACACAUGCACUUCUCAGAAUGCCACAGCCCAAGACAGCCCUCCCUUCCCAGUGUCACUGUGUUGGAGUCACAGGGACAGCCAUGCUAUAAGACCUGACAGCAGUUCUCUCCAGGGUAGUGGAUGUGGAAAAGAGAUGAGCCCCAAGUACCCAAUCUCUCUCUCUCUCUCUCUCUCUCUCUCUCUCUCUCUCUCUCUCUCUCUCUCUCUCUCUCUCUCUAUCUCUAUCUCUUUCAGUACAUUCCUCAGCUUGAUUUUGAGACACAUGAUAAAAAAAAUCUUUCUCAUAUCAUUGUAAAGCAUAUAUGAUAUGAUAUGAUGAUAUGAUAUGAUCCCUCACAAACAGAACAAGCAUAUCAUAUAUUCUGUGCAAAUCUAUUACUUAGACAGCCUUACAUCCUAGAUCCUGUACACUGAUAGCUGAUUAGUUUAUAAAGCCUAUCUAAAAAGACAAAUUUCCACAGCUACCUAAUAAUAUCACCACAAGAGGGCAUAGUUCACAGACAAGAGAGUGGGUCAAAGGGACAAGGAUUAAAGAAGUGUUGAUUCCUGUCUGUCUACACUGACAUAUUUCCUUACAUAUGUCACGUCCUAUCAGGCUUCAGGUGAAAAUCUUCAUCUUUAAAUUAAACCGAAUCAUAUCUAAUUUCGCCCAUUUAAAUAAUUUUAAAUUCAGACAUGCACACUGUCUCCAAAGCAUUUAAAAUCUCAAACAUAAUUACAUUAAAGCAAGUCUUUCCAAAACGGAUUUUUUUUUUACCAUCUCUGGCCAGAGGUGGAGUUGUGGUAAACAACCUAUCAGCAUCAGUCACGGCUGAUUAUAGCCAAUCAAAGCCUGUCCGACCACAGCAAAUCACACCAAUCACAGAGCAUCUCACCCAGUCACACCUCAUUUUAAAAGUCACAGCCAAUCAACAGACGUUAGGGGCAAUAAGAUAGUGGAUAUUGUUGGAGAUGGACAGUUGAGCGGGUCUCUGUGGGACUUGGAGUGCCAAAUGUCAAAAACAGGCUUAUCAGGUGGCUAAUAGUUUUAAUUAGGUGAUUAGCAAAGUGCUUGAUGGUGACAGAAACCUGACACCUGCUUUCACACUCUGUGAGAUUAUAGCUCAGAGAUUAUAUAUAUAUAUAUAUAUAUUUUUUUUGGCAUUUCUCCAUUUAACUGGAUGAAAAACUAAUCCUCAAUUCAUAGUGUCAUUUUCCCAACUGUACUCCAUAUGUUGUGUUUAUUUGCUCUUUGUGCUGCUACACUUAUAAUCUGCUACAUAUGGUUUUCAGUUUGGUCAGUUUUCCACAGUUAUGGAAAUCAGUUCCCCUCAUUAUGUUUCUGUUCUGUAUAGUUUUUACAGACUAUUACUCGGGUUACAUGUUUACUGUAUUGUGCUGCAUUUGUCACACAUUUUUGCACUGUUCCACACUACUGUUAUGUAUAUAUAUUCUUUGUACAGCUACUUUAGUCUGUCUGCAACUAGAUACAGAGGAAUAUUUCAGCAGAGUUGAGGUGCAUACACCUUAAUUACAAAGAUGAAUGCACAUAAAAUUUAAGUGCAAAAACAAUAGGCUCAAUUGCUCUACAGAGAUGUGGUCAGAUGAGUCAUCAUUCACCUUCUUUUCAAGAGGGUGAGCCCAUGUGUGUUGUGCACCAAGAGAACAAUAAACAACAAAAAAGAGUCCUGAGUGCUUGACCCUUCAUUAAGGGGUUCUGAUAUGCUGGGGUUUUCUGGUUCCCUUAGAGGGAAGUGGCACAGCAAAUCAAUACAAGGUUUCUGACUGACCAUUUAUUCUAUGAUGCAACCCGU